AUGCAGGUUUUGAUAGUGUUUCUAAAUGAUUCUUGGUGUGUAUAUCCCUGUGAUUCUUAUGUUUUUCUAUGUAUGAAGUUGGAGCAUUUUUUGUAUGAGGUUUUUUUUGUGUUCUCUCCCCUGCGUAUUGAAUCAAUUUUAAGACCUCCUUUCUCUGUUAUGUUUUUUUUUCUAUUUUAUCUAUCAGUAAAAUUUUUCUCUGUUUUUCUCUAUCAGUAA